CGCGACCCCAGGUCAGGCGGGGCUACCCGCUGAGUUUAA
rnacentral:rRNA from 1 species